GCCAAUUUCGAUACCGGAUGAUUAGGCAACUUCCUCUCUCUGAUACAAAAUAUUCCGUCUUCUCCGAGCGAGGGGAAGUGAGCUCAGAGGGGGCAUGAGCGCAGUGAUAAAUCCUAGCAAUGACAACACUUCAAAGUUCACUUUUUCUGCAAACUUCGCAGACAAAACAACGGCUUCAUACACAAUUCUUCGUCCCUCUCUUUCACUUCAUUUUUGUUCCUUAGAAUGUUAUAUUCAUGCGGUCAGCCCCGAAUUUCAUAACUUGCGAUUUCGCCUGCGCGGUACGCUGAUCUUUUGUACAUCUCGACCGGAGGAUGCGAGUUCACUGUCUGAGUCAAAUUUCAUGGGUGAUGAUAUUUAGUUUUGUUGAUGAAGAAUCGGAUAUUGAUAGAACUGGUGGGGAAAGUUCAGGCAUAGCGGAAGUCGUUUGCGCUUUAGUCUUAGAAGAACAGAGGGUAGACGUAGUUGAUACUGACAGUUGGAAGGCUGAGUGGCAGAGUCGCAUUGGGGAAUUAAGUUUGGAGACCAACGAAAUUUGCCAGGAAAUGGGUGAGAAUGUGGGGAAGAAGAGAGCGCGACAAUGUGUUGAAAGGAGGACGGGGAGGCCGAGUCGCCGAUACUGGCAUUUUUAUAGGGUUGUGGGCGAGGAUGAGAGAAGGCGUCCCAAAGACCUUCCUUCGUUUGCAAAUUGAUGGCUAUUUACGGAGCAGAGGAACGUUGCUGAAGCCAACGAAAAUCCCGAGAAUGCGGCAAAGCAGACUCCAUUAUUUGUUGAACUCAAUAAACACAGGUUUUAGGUUUCAGGAUGCUGCUGCACUUGCUAAAUGCAAAUCAAGCUUGGGUGGCGUUGGAGCUUCAAGUGUUGGCGCAAGUUUUUACCAUGCUGAACAAGGAGCUGAACAAGGAAGUGAUGACACAGAAGGUUAACAUCUUAAGUUCUGCAAUGGUAAACAGAAUCUGAUUUUCUUGUAAUAUGUCAUCCAGCCGCUUAGUGUAUUUUGAGAACUUUAUCAGCUAGAAAUUUGGGCUGUUGCUAAUAAUUUUCUGAGAUUGCAAGUGCAAUAGAUGAGCGAACAACAGCCUUGCUAUAGUACAUUUAUAUUUCUUAUUUCCUUUUGGCUAAUAAGAUGGUGAAAUUCUAAUUCAUUGAUCAGUUGAUUAUUAAUCAGAACCAAUAGAUAAGAAGUUUUGCCCGUGCCUAGUAUUGUCUAUCUAUCUGUGUUUCCUUGCUCACAGUAUGAUAAAACAUUUAACGUGAUCAUGCAAAAGAAGAGCUUAAGCAAGCUGCGGAGUACCUAAAGAAUCCAGCUAUGUUUACAUGCCUGGAAGGAAAGUUGCCAAAGGUUUGCAGAAGUCAUUUCAUCCUUGUGCCAAAAAUUUUAUGCCUGACCAUACAGUUCACAUGCUUUUACUUUCAUAUUUUUCCUUAACUUCUAUAGGUUUCUCAUUUCCUUGCAGGAGGCACUUGGUUUUCAUUUUUAUCCUGAUAGUUCACUUUAUUUCCAUAAUCUUCCUUUCCUUCUAUAGAUUUCUCAUUUCUUUGUAGGAGGCACUAGGUUUCCAUGCCUUUUAAUGAGUUGAUGACAUGAUGACGUCACUACUUAUGGAAUUCGUGCGCUGCCUGCAUUAAUAAACACGAUAGCUUUUUAUUUGUUUUCAUUGCAUGCUAUACUAAUGAACCUGAUUGUCUUCAUGUAGUAUAAUGUUACGGUUUUCAGACUGCAUUGAUUGUAUUCCGUUUGUUUCUUUUGUUCAUCUGAUCCUAUGAGCCUAAGGCUUUCCUUUCUUUAGGGGAUUCUCUUACCAGGGCCACCGGGAACUGGUAAAAAUCUGCUAGCAAAGGCUAGUUUUUAUAAUCAUGAUUCUGCUGUCCCUUUACAAUUAAAUAAUAGCUGUUGUUAUUUUUCUUUUCUCUUUUGCUUUUGGAAUUAUGUCUUUUCCUUUCUACUUGUUGGCCUUCAUUAUUUUUGGUUGUUCUUAGUAUUUACCAAUAUUUGCCUGAACAAAUUUCCCAUCUUAUUUGACUUCCCGAGAUUGUAUUAAAUGUGUUGUGGGCAGCUAUAUGAAAAAUUUGUAAACAUAUUUUAUUCUAAUUUCUUACAUAUGGGUAUAUGUAUGUAGGCCUGUGGAUAUGAAAGUUUCUCAUUUUAAGUACUUUCUAACUUUUUGACUUUGGGAGCCUGUUAAUGAUGGCUUCUCAGUAAUUCGAAAGUCAUUGAAUUACUUUGAUCUAUCUAUCAACCUGUUUUUUUUGACAACUUUGUUCUCCUUUUUGUUCUUAUGACUUGCAAAACGUCAUUGAAAAGAUGCAAUGAUUUCUUGCCAUCGACCUUUUGAUUUAAUCUAUAUAAUCUCAAAAAAUUAAAGUGAGAGAGUUAAACAUGAUCUAAUUGAAUGAGAAAAAAGCAUAAAAUAUUUGAAUUACUAAUAUCAUGUAGUCAGUUUGUUUCGGUUGCAUUUGGAUUGACAAGGCUGACACCCUACAACAUGACUACUUUGAACAGUUUCGCGAAACAUCGACCCAGUUAAUCUGAUUAGAAGGUUGGUGUUUAUUGGAUGGACUAAGUUGGAAUUGGGUUCUAUCAGUAUUCAAUAGAUGCAGUGUGUUUAGGCAGCUUACUAUCGGUGAAAUUUGGAUGGUUCGUUUGAUAUUUGUAUAAUCCUGUAGAAUAGUCCUUACAAUUUCUCUUAAUAUUUACACGAAAUAUGUAUUAUAAGUGGUAAGGAAGUAAUUAAAACUUUUUACACCACAAAAAAGUAUCUGAAUCUUUUAGCUGAAAUGCUCGAAUUUGCAGCUGGACUUCUCUUUUUGAAACUUCAAAUGAGACUUAAAUCACUUUACUUUUUUCUGUUUGCCCCACUUUCCGAAAGGUUACAAAUUGUGGGAUGAGUAGUGAUGCGAUUGGGCCAGUUCAUAGGCCAAGUUCGUAAAUGCAGUCGCUUAUUGAUGCAGGGGCUGUGAAACUCCUUAAAGAAGCAUGUGAUCGAAUGAAAGUUAUUUCAAAGAAGGUGAGAGGCCAAGUUCCAUGUUAAAUAGAACACAGGUACCACAGGAAAAGAAGGUAAGCGGAAGAAAAAUGUUUUUUCGUUACAUCAAAAAGGCACAAACUAUUGGUCUCUACUAACAUCCCGCCCCACUCUUACAACCUCUAGGUGGGAGAAGAGACAUGUUUUUGGUGUGAAGUUCUCUCUCUCAAAACAAAUUGGCUAUGUUUUGUGGUCCAAUUUCAUUUUUUCAUUGUGCAUUAUACUAUCAAGUAUCAAUAGGCAAAGCACAUUGUCUGUGCUGUCUUGUUCCUGGACUACUCAAAUUUCCAAUUCUACGAGCACCCCACCCCCCCAAAAGAAAGAAAAAAAAGAAAAACCAACUGGCAACCUUGAAUUUCUGCAAUGCUUGAUAUGUUUUGUAGAUUUUAAAUUUUUGAACCCUUUGCAUAUUUGGGUAUUUCUUCUGAAUGAGAAGGCAUUACGUGCACUAGCCCCUACAGGUAUUUUUUUCCCCUUUUUCCCCUUUUCAACUACUCAAUUUCGACUCCGCAGCUCCUCCAACUUGGUGGGUUCUAUUGUUAUCAGAUUUUUUCAGGAGUUUAGUUAUACACGUCGAGCAUAUCUGAGGCAGCCAGUGACGGGCGAGGUCUUCUCGUGUUGCCCUUAUUAGGAGUACUCGAGAGCAUUAAUUGAAUUGGAAAUAACUGCGUGAUUUUAAGUGACUUAUUACAUGCUUAUUCAGUUAUUUGUAUCCUCAUUGUUCAAAGAUGUUUUGUUUAUUCAGAAACCUGAGUUGAGUUUGCAAGCUCUAGUUGGCCUAGCAACAAUA